AGUUCUAGUGCUAAUUUCUCUUCUAUUGUUCAGGUUACUGAAGAAAACCUCGCAACACUAUUUAUAAAUUGCGGACAGGUUGUGGACUGUCGCAUGUGUGGGGACCCAAAUUCAGUCCUUAGGUUUGCUUUCAUAGAGUUCACUGAUGAGGUCUGACGAUGAACGUGAAAUGUGUGCAAGGACUAUCUACUGCACAAACAUUGACAAGAAGGUUUGGUACCUGCACUCAUGCUACUACCACUAGGUAUUCAUUCUGUCAUGGUUCUGUUUUAAUACACGCAGGUCACUCAAACAGAUCCAAAGUUAUUCUUUGAGUCCAAAUGUGGUGAGGUUGGUCGUUCUUUACUCCAAACACAAUCUCCCUUCUGUAUAGCUAAAAGUUUGCAGAAAUGGCACCAUCAAGAUCGAUCUGGAGACCAACAAGAUCAUGGACUUCAUCAAGUUUGACGUCGGCAACGUGGUCAUGAUGACCGGCGGGACGAACACCGGGCGUGUAGGAGUGAUCAAGAACAGGGAGAAGCACAAGGGCAGCUUCGAGACCAUCCACGUCCUGCUUGGAGCUUUUUGCUAUGUCUAGUUUUCUCCUAUUUAUUGUACACGAAAACAUAGAAUGGAAUUCAAAUUUGGUGGCCGCAAAAUGUGGAGACUUGAAUU